rnacentral:lncRNA from 1 species
AUGUAUCCACAAGAUUUAGUGGUCAUGAUGGCAGCGGAGGAGACGAUUGUCCCAGACGUGACGGUGAAUACGGUGGCGCCCGUCACGGUGGUGACCGUCCCAAACACGAUGGGGGAGACGGUGGCGCCCGUCACGGUGGUGACUGUCCCAGAUACGCCAGGGAAGACAGUGGCGCCCGUCACGGAGGCUACCAUCACAGAGGCGACCCUCGCAGACACACCGGGGAAGACGGUGGUGCCUGUCACAGAGGCGACCGUCCUAGGCAUGACGAUGACCAUAGUGCUUGGACAUAAAAAAAUCUCAACUUCAGGGCUGCCAUCAGUAAAAAGCUUCUCAAGUUCUACAAUGAAAAUAAGUAGAGAAUCAACGUUCUUUUUCAAGUCUACUGCUAAACAACUAACUUUGGAGGACAAGAAGUUAGUCAGAUCAACCUCUACCAACCUGACUUUUGGGCCAGAUAAAGAACAGCAAACAUCUGAACUAGAGAUAGGGCUCAGCAUUUUCUUUGGGAUACUCCUUAUUAUUGUCAUCAUUGUUUGUUGCUGUAGGUGGAAAAAGUCAAGAAAAAGCUCAUUUGACUUGAACUCAAUAGAAGCAACUAUUCCCUUAAAUACCAUUGAAACAAAAGAACCAAGCUCAGGUAGAGUAUCCUUGGUUUUGUUCUGUUCUUUUAAAUGGCCACUAAAAUGGAGGGUUUAGGAGAGUACUCUUUAUGAUUGGGCAUAUACAAUCUACUUGCGGCUUUACUCUCACUCUGUGAACCUACAUACUAGAGCUGUGUGCUUCACAGGAAUCCAUGCCAACAUUUUCUUCAGUUUCAACCAAUAUAGUUUCACACUCCAAAAGUAUCAUUUUGAAAAAAAACCCUCAAUCUCCAAACAAGACUCAAUCAAAGCCAUUUGCUACAGCGUUAGAACCAUGCAAUACCAUGACCUGUGGGACUCAGCUUCACUUCUGAACCCUGGUUUAUGGUCCUUAUUUUUUAUUUGACUAUAUUAUACACUACAGUGGGGUGUGUUAACCAUUUUAUUCUUAAUUCAUGUGAAUUUUUACUGUUUCCUGUUUUUCUUUGUAUCAUUUUCAGAUGGGGAGAAGAAAUGAAAGCACUCUCACUUAAUAGCCAUUCAAGAAGAUCUCACAAAAAGAACUAAUAUGGCUGAAUCACCAGAGAAAUUAAAAUGGAUUGAAAUUCAAAGAGAUCCACUGGCACUCUCAAUAGUGUAAACUUCUUUUUAAAUGGCACAUUUUGGAGUGUUCUUGAAUCUAGUCAUAGUAAUAAGCAGAUAUUCAUUGGUGCUGGCUGCUACAAAUCUUUAUUCAUUGCCUGUUACUUUUUGGUUGUGGAAAAAAGCUCGCCUUACUUUAAUAUAGUUAUCUAUGGGCCACAUUCCACCAUUUAGGCACAAAUCUGCAUCAGCAUAUGAGGAACUGGGGGAGGCAUAAUCCCUCUCCCAGCUCUCCAGCAUUCAGAAGAAACAUGCCAUGGCCCUUCCUCUUCCUGCCCCAGCCUGCUUCCUUUAGAGGAUUGUGGCCUUUAGGGUGCACAGCAGGAAGGAGUCACGGAGGCAGGCAGUCUUUGUGCUUCCCUGAGUAUAGGGACUGGGGUCUUUCCGGGCCCUUAUGUGGAGCUCCUAAGAAGUGAGGGGAAAACUAUUUAUGCCUCCUGCUCCCACCAAUUCAUCCGUCCAAAAGCCUGUGAAAAUCUAGCCCUUAAUUCUUUGUACAUAGCUUGUUUUAUAAUAAAUGACCUAAGUAAAAGUGAGUCUCA